rnacentral:lncRNA from 1 species
AUAGAGAUGUCUCCACAACAUGUGAACCAUUUCUUUUAAUAUUUUUAAUUAACGGAUCGUCCCCAUACCUCGCCCGAUAUGAGUACCAAACUACUAAAUCUCAAUACCCCGUCCGGUAUGAGGGUGAAACGGGCCGUUCUCAUACCUCAUUUGGUAUGAGUACCAAAUUACCAAACAUCGAUACCCCGUCUGGUAUGAGGCAACGUUCACGGUAGGAUUUUUCAUGUACCUGCUCCGUCCACAAUCUCCUAUGAUAUUCAGU